AAAGUCGUAACAAGGUCUCCGUAGGUGAACCUGCGGAGGGAUCAUUCACAUGAUUACUUUUAUUAAACAAACUGUGAACUUUAUUUAUAUACUAUUCGUGUUUUUGUGUUAGUUUAAUUACUUUCACAUUAAACAUUGUCAUUCGUUGAACAUAAGAUAGUUGGCUUGAAUUUUGUUUUAACUUCGGUUAUUUCAUCUUUCUUUCUCAGCUUUGAUUUGACUGAAAAUUAAACACUUUCUCUCAAUCAACCAUAAACAUAGAAACAACUCUAUGCCCUGGAUAUCUUGGUUCUC
rnacentral:misc_RNA from 1 species